rnacentral:rRNA from 1 species
AGUGAACGCUGGCGGUAGGCCUAACACAUGCAAGUCGAACGGCAGCACAGUAAGAGCUUGCUCUUACGGGUGGCGAGUGGCGGACGGGUGAGGAAUACAUCGGAAUCUACUUUUUCGUGGGGGAUAACGUAGGGAAACUUACGCUAAUACCGCAUACGACCUACGGGUGAAAGCAGGGGAUCUUCGGACCUUGCGCGAUUGAAUGAGCCGAUGUCGGAUUAGCUAGUUGGCGGGGGAAAGGCCCACCAAGGCGACGAUCCGUAGCUGGUCUGAGAGGAUGAUCAGCCACACUGGAACUGAGACACGGUCCAUGCUCCUACGGGAGGCAGCAGUGGGGAAUAUUGGACAAUGGGCGCAAGCCUGAUCCAGCCAUACCGCGUGGGUGAAGAAGGCCUUCGGGUUGUAAAGCCCUUUUGUGGGGAAAGAAAAGCAGCAGGUUAAUACCCCGCUGUUCUGACGGUACCCAAAGAAUAAGCACCGGCUAACUUCGUG